GUUUACUGCAAUAGAACACUACUGUAGUUAGCACUGGGACUGGAUGCAUAGCUUAGGGAGUCCAUACCACAGAGAAAUGGAUGCCAUCACUCGGGGAGAGCCUAUAGUGAACACCUGGAGGAACACUUCAAGAGAAGAGGAAUCUGGAAGACACCAUCAGAACAGAAUGGGGAGGAAAAGGAGGAAGUCAGAACAAGAUAGAAUUGAACCUAUUUGUGGGCCGAGGGAACAGAUCCACCUGAGCCUCUAAAAGUUGUCUCCAUCUGGUUUCCUGGAACUUCCUGUCCAGAAGCAUCUCUCACCGCAGUGGCCUGACCUCCAUGGCCAUGCAGAGGACCUUGCAGGACCCGUCAUCAAGCCAGUGGACAAUGUGACACAGGACCAACCUUCAGCUCUAGUGUCAUUGAAAGCUGUGCCCAUUUCUAGUCGAUAUAUGGUUCCUUUCAUUUUUAACUGCACUCAGCUCAUUCAAAUUAAAUGUGUGUGUGCUUGCUGACAGGUUUAAAACAAAGAGGGAAGGUUGUGGUGUUA